UUUCCAACCAGCUGUUAUUAUUGUUAUUAAACUUCGAUUUCGACUUUUGUUGUACGACAAAUGAAAUGACAAGUUCAUCUAAUGUUGUGAUCAAUUAAAAAGGGGAAGUGCUUCGGCACGGGUGGACGCUGGGUUUGCAACUUUCACUACUUUUGAGGGACAAUUUGAUCAACAAGAAAAAUCCUCAUGCAAAUACCUUAUGUUUGUUUGAUAUUCUCCGGUGACAUUUGAUUUAUGCUCUGAUAAAAGAUGUUUCUGAGUGUAUUUACAUUGGAAUAUUUAUUACAACGGUCUGUUGUACAUAGGUUUGGGUUUGGAGGAAGCUCAAGAGCACUACGAGAACCGACACGCCUGCAUCUCGACAACGAACAAGGUCAACUUAAGUGCCAUUGAAGUCUCAAAUGGCCAAAGAAAUGGGUUUUUUGGAUUUCUAACAAAACAACCGAUUAGAUGAAAGCAAACGCCAUCGUUUUCUAAAGCACCGUUAUCUAUCCUACCAAAAAAAACUUUUGUACUAAACAAUAUAACAUGCAGCGAAAUAUAAUGUUUUUAUUAAGUAA